UUUUUUUUUUUUUUUUUUUUUGACAGAGUCUCUCUGUGUAACAGCCUGGCUGUCCUGGAACUUGGUAGAUCAGGCUGGCCUCAAAGUCACAGACUCACAGAGAUCUGCUUGUCUCUGCCUUCUGCAUCACCACGCUGGGCACAAUGUCAAAAACUGUAAUGAAUACAUGUACUCGGGUCACUUUUAUUAUAAAUUGGGUUCUGGUGCUUUGGGAUUCUGAGUCUGUGGGGUCAAGGUCUACCAGAGGUCAGAGUUCAAGUCAUGCUGAGGAAGGGGAAGGGAGUCCUUAGGAGCCACUGGCAGUUGAGGCAUUCAAGGCUGCAGUGACCUGCUAUGGUUCUACGGACUUCUUCCAGACUCCCCAGGACUUGUGUGUGAAGAAACCAGUCAUUUCUCCUCUGGCCACCACAAGGUCAGAACUGGGGCAUACACACCCCGCCCCCAGUAUGACUCAGAAGGAACCCCACAAGGUUAUCUCUCGGGGUUAGAGAGGAUGCUGUUCCUACAGGAAGGGGUGUGCGGAAACAGAGGCCCCUUACUCGGCAUGAGGACUUUUGGGGUCCUUCUGAGUACCCGCCGCUGUAAACUGCCCUGAUUCUGGGCUGGGGGACGUAAGCUUAGACCCUGCUUGUUUGGUUGUUGUUUUUUUUUUUUUUUUUCAAGUGUAAACAGACUGUUUUGUUGAAGGUGUACUUGGUCCUGGAGACUGUUUUGUUACCGUCGCUUUAAAAAAACACAAAAGAUUUUUCUGUAGGUGUCUUUAGCUGCUCACUGCCUUGUUCAGCAGCAAACCAAAUAACCAAAACCCCAUCUUGGCAAGACAGCACUAGCCCAAGAGAGAGGGGCGGUGGGUGUCUGAGCUAAGAGCACGGCUCUGGGACUGAAGGCCGUGGACUUACCAAGGAAGGUGGCGUUGUUCACAUAAUCAGCCAGUGAACCAAUCACAAAGAACGUAUCAAAUUCUUUCAACAUUCUAGAUCUUUACAGCCCCCUGGUAUACUUUAUUUACUGUCCCUGCUUAUGAUUAGACCCACGUGACACGCUUGAGGGCUGAGAGGGGUCGGUAAAGUUCAAUGUAACUUCACAGUGCACUUAUUGAAGACUCCAAGUUCUGCUUAUUAGAAGGGGACUUUACUUGAGUGACAUUUUAUUUAUUUAAAGAAGUGUUUCUUAUUAAACUAUAUUUUAAAAAAAAUGAAAGCACCAGGUGGGGAUGGUGCAUGCCUUUAAUCCCAGCACUAGAGAGCCAGAGGCAGGAAGAUCUCUGAGUUUGAGACCAGCCUGAUCUACAGAGGGAGUUCCAGGAUAGCCAGGGCUAUGAGAGAAACCCUGCCUUGGGGAAAAAAACAAAACAAAACAAACAAACAAAAAACAUGUCUACAGACAUAUUUUGGUUGGUGGAGCAGGGUCCCACAGUGCAAAAGGACACCUUAAAAGGCCUUGAACACAAUGACCAAGAGAUCAAAACGAUUCAUUGCUGCUUCAGGGCUGCAAGGUUCCAGAAGGAUCUGCAUUUGAGGAUCUCUGAAGGGAGUCCCUGACAGUCUCUAGACACCCCCUACAAAGCCAUGGAGACAGCACCCAGUCAGGAUAUCUAGGCUGAGGUUGUGUUUAUGCCUUCUGAAUUCCUACGUAUGCAGCUGAGGUACGAACUGGCUUGGCUCCAGUUUACAAAGAAAGAAACAAAAGUCAUCACCAUCCACAACAGCAAAACACGGAAAAAAGAGGAAAAGGAAUGGCCCCGAGACAGGAGACAAAAGAGCGCUUCUUGGGGAGAGGACACUAACUGGCAGUGGCUUGCUAGCACUCAGGACCUUCUCUAAACAAUUCACUAAUCAGAAGUGACUGGGGCCCUGAAGAGAAUACAGGCCGGCCUGGGUUCCGCCCUCCAUGCUAAUGACGAAGGCACUGAAGUGGAUAAUUAAGGGCAGCGAGGUGAAUAAUUCCAAACGGAUCAUUG